AAACUGAGCGUAGGGAGCCUUACUUAUCUAAAAUUUUUGUAGCUAAAGACAAUGCAAAGGAUGUACAUGGAUUGUAAAAACUAUUAGUGAAGCUCCAUGUACUCAAUUAUACAGGCAACCCUCAAACAUUGUUAUGUGAAACCACACAUCAUCAAGCUUUUAGCUUACUAUGUACCCUUUCUUUAGCAGUUGUCUUACAAGCCAUGUUGAGGUCGUUUGCCCUAAAAAAUAUGAGGUGUUUCAGUGAUGAUUGUGAGU